GAACAAUCGACACACAUGACACUUAUACUUACGUAACACUUUCUUCCACCCUAAAAAUAUAUUUCAACUGUAUACAAAGAUUGAAUAGAAUCUAAACUAGGCUGGACGUUUACGAAACACAUUUUUAUGCCAAACCUGACGGAAAUUUGGAUUUUUCUAAAACGAGUUCCUGCAUCGAAGUAAUUACGGAUGAUUACGACGCCAAAGAAGCGGAUUUCUUUUUGAAACUCGAAAGUAACGAAGAGCUGCGAAAGCUAUACGAUAAAUACAAUGUGCAAUCUGUUCAACGAUACGCGAACGUUUCGCCAAAUGUUAAAAUAACUGGCAUACAGAUCUCGUUACUUGGUAUCGCCAUAUUUAUCGCCGUCGCGUCUAUAAUUUCUGGUUAUACGUUGUGUUGUUCUUAUAAAAGGUCUGUUUCAUGUCUAAUCGCUUUACUAUUGAAUUCGAAAGUUUCUUAUCGAGCUGUUGUAGCAUC